rnacentral:lncRNA from 1 species
UUACUGCUCUUUCCCUGUUGGACCUGCUAGACAUUGCCCUAGGCAAUGCUGGAGGACGGGCGCUCAUGCCCUCAUCCUCAGGUGGCACUCCAGUCAAUCGUGCAGAUCGACGAGUUCCUCUCAUCCUAUUUUCUGAAAAACAGCACACAUCAAGCAAGCAUUAGAAUCAUAUGGUUCAUGUGGGCACACAUGAACCCUCAUCACAAACGUCACAUAGCAUAGCAUAUCAUUAAUGCACAUGCAUAAAGUCAUGGCAUUUCACAUUAUCAUGCAAGACAGGACUCCACAUCCUAUCCUAGUGGACAUG